AUUCUGGCUCAGGAUGAACGCUAGCGGCAGGCUUAACACAUGCAAGUCGAGGGGCAACGCGAGUAGCAAUACUUGGCGGCGACCGGCGCAAGGGUGCGUAACGCGUGAGCAACAUGCCCGUAUCAGGGGGAUAAUCCAGGGAAACUUGGUCUAAUACCCCAUAGUAAUUUUUGUAAGGCAUCUUAUAAGAUUUAAAGCUUUGGUGGAUACGGAUUGGCUCGCGUGACAUUAGCUGGAUGGUAAGGUAACGGCUUACCAUGGCUAUGAUGUCUAGGGGUUCUGAGAGGAAGGUCCCCCCACACUGGAACUGAGACACGGUCCAGACUCCUACGGGAGGCAGCAGUGAGGAAUAUUGGACAAUGGAUGGAAAUCUGAUCCAGCCAUGCCGCGUGAAGGAAGAAAGGUCCUAUGGAUUGUAAACUUCUUUUGUAUGGGAGCAAUAAGGCCUACGAGUAGGUUGAUGAGAGUACCAUACGAAUAAGCACCGGCUAACUCCGUGCCAGCAGCAGC
rnacentral:rRNA from 1 species